GGCCGACUAGCUCAGCUGGUUAGAGCGUCGUGCUAAUAUAAUACAUCAAAUUGAUCUAUUAUAAAUAUUAACGCGAAGGUCUUGGGUUCGAUCCCCACGUUGGCCA